UAGAUGCCAUUUGAGCGAGCCAGUCGAGUUGCUAAGACCAUCAUUAGUGGUGAAUACUCUCUAAGUUACUCUCUUGUUGGGCCCCAAAAAUAGAUAUAAAACCCAUUUUCGAGUCCAUUUGAGAGAGUAUCGCUGCUUCUAAUAGCAACUGAAGCAACACCCUGAGAAACGCGACGUGGCGUUUUGCCAUUGGUUCCAGAAAAAAUAUAAAAGAUAAUUUUUUUUUUUUAAUCUUUCCGAGUCUCUCUCUCUCCUCUGUCGAGACAAAGGCGAUUUGGGUGGCGAUUCUUGCGAAGAUCAUGAUUAGGCGUCGAUUCAGACCGAAUCUGAUGAAGUUUCCGGCUAAAUAUGGAGGAUGAUGAUGGCAAGUAGAGGCGAUGGCGAAGAACAAGCGGUGUAACCCUAAGAUGUUGACGAUUCGGUUCUGAAGACAAACGACGGCGGAGGUUUCCGGGGGUGACAGAGAUCACAAAUGUCCAUGUUCAAUUCCUCCAUCUCUCUCAAAUGGCCACAAGAACAAGAUCAUGACUUCUUCUUCGUCUUCUAUGUCAGCACUAGCUUGCUCUCCUCUUCUCAACGAUUGCCACUGAACUAAUGGAUGACAAAGAUCAUGUGUUUGGAAACUUGAUAGAGAGUAGCGAAGCAAAUACUGAAGUAAAGAUCCUGGACAACGAUCAUUUGGUUUUCUAUAUGGACAAGAAUGUAAUGGCUCGCAAAUUGCCUGAGACGGUCGUAGUUACUAACCACGAGGAGGUUACUUUUAACGUUGUCAAGGAUGUAUGUGUCGAUGAGGGUGUGCCUAUGAUGCCGGAUAAGUUCUUAUUCAACAAGAUGAUUGCAAAGUGGCAUCGGGGGUUGUAGUAGCUACAUCAAGAAGUGUCUCUAAGGAAGCUUUAACCUUGGGAGAUAUUAUAUUAAUGGAGGGUUCUCAAAGACCAGCCAACAAAAACAACACCCAUGGACCUGAAGAAACAGAAGAGGAGAAAACAGAGGAACCAAUAGCAGGGAGCUUGAGAUAUCUUUCCACUGAAUUGGAAGAAUCAGAGAAUCAACGGCUAAACGAUGUGUUUGAGGACUCUUCUGAUCACAAUCUCUUCUCAAGAAUCAGAGAAU